UACGUAGGCAGCAAGCGUUGUUCGGAAUUACUGGGCGUAAAGAGUGCGUAGGCGGUGCUCUAAGUCUGUUGUGAAAUCUCCCGGCUUAACUGGGAGGGUGCGGCGGAAACUGGAGUGCUUGAGGGUGGGAGAGGUAAGCGGAAUUCCUGGUGUAGCGGUGAAAUGCGUAGAUAUCAGGAGGAACACCUGUGGUGUAGACAGCUUACUGGACCACUUCUGACGCUGAGGCACGAAAGCGUGGGUAGCAAACAGG
rnacentral:rRNA from 1 species